rnacentral:rRNA from 1 species
UACGGAGGAGGCAAGCGUUAUCCGGAAUUAUUGGGCGUAAAGCGUCCGUAGGUGGUUAUUCAAGUCAGUUGUUAAAGCGUGGGGCUUAACUCCAUAAAGGCAAUUGAAACUGAGUAGCUAGAGUGCGAUAGGGGCAAGGGGAAUUCCCAGUGUAGCGGUGAAAUGCGUAGAUAUUGGGAAGAACACCGGUGGCGAAAGCGCCUUGCUGGGUCUGCACUGACACUGAGGGACGAAAGCUAGGGGAGCGAAAGGG